AAUAGCUAGGGAUUCCUCCAUCACCACACCCUCUUCCUUCUCCAGGUGAAUCAACUCCUUUGCUGAAGGUGUAACCUGAAUUCUAUGAAUUUCAGUUAACUCAUUCCCUGCUGAUUUUCGGAAGCCUAAGAUGACACCCAAAUUGGUAAUACUGGUGACAGCUGUGGCUCUUGUCUGCCUUGUACAACUUGGGAAAGCAGAAAAGGAGGAGAAAAGCCACCAUGAGAAAGAAGAAAGGGAGUUACUAAGGGACAUUGCUUAUGAUAAAGAAACAAGUGGUCCGGAUGAUUUUCUUGGUGGAGUGCUAGACAAAGUUGUGGAAAUUAAACAAAUGUGAAAUUUUGUUACAGAAAUACAUAUUCUGUAACAUCAUUGGAAAUGUUUUUUUUCUGUCAUGAUACAUUGAACUAUAAUACAU